rnacentral:rRNA from 1 species
UACGAAGGGGGCUAGCGUUGCUCGGAAUCACUGGGCGUAAAGGGUGCGUAGGCGGGUCUUUAAGUCAGGGGUGAAAUCCUGGAGCUCAACUCCAGAACUGCCUUUGAUACUGGAGGAUCUUGAGUUCGGGAGAGGUGAGUGGAACUGCGAGUGUAGAGGUGAAAUUCGUAGAUAUUCGCAAGAACACCAGUGGCGAAGGCGGCUCACUGGCCCGAGUACUGACGCUGAGGCACGAAAGCGUGGGGAGCAAACAGG